GAGCCCGGAGUGAGGGGAAUGAAGGGAAAGGGAGCCCGGGCUGAGGGGAAAGGGAGCCCGGGCUGAGGGGAAAGGGAGCCCGGAGUGAGGGGAAAGGGAGCCCGGAGUGAAGGGAAAAGGAGCCCGGAGUGAAGGGAAAAGGAGCCCGGGCUGAGGGGACAGAGAGCCCGGGGUGAGGGGAUGAAGGGAAAGAAAGCCCGGGGUGAGGGGAUGAGAGGAAAGAGAGCCCGGGCUGAGGGGAUAAGGGGAAAGGGAGCUCGGGAUGAGCAGAAAGAGAGCUUGAGGUGAGGGGAUGAGAAGAAGGGGAGCCCAGAGUGAGGGGAUGAAGGGAAAGGAAGCCCGAGCUGAGGGGAAAAGGAGCCCGGGCUCAGUGGGAAGACAGCCCGGGCUGACGGGAUGAAGGGAAGGAAAGCCCGGGGUGAGGAGAAGGAAGCUGAGGGGAUGAGGGGAAAGGGAACCAGGGCUGUGAGAGGAUGAAGGGAAAGAGAGUCCAGGCUGAGGGGAUGAGGGAAAAAGGGAGCCCGGGCUGAGGGGAAAGAAAGUCCGGGGUGAGGGGAUGUGAGAGGACAGAGAGCCCAGAGUGAGGGGAAAGAGAGCCCGGGCUGAGGGGAAGGAAACUGAGGAAAUGAGGGGAAAGGGAGCCCGGGGAAAGGGGGAACAGAGCCUGGGAUGGGAUGAAAGAGCCCGGGGAGAAGGGUAAGGGGUGGUCAGGAUGAGGGGAAAAGGAGCCCGGGGUGAGGGAUAAAGGGGUACCUGGGAUGAAGGAAAGAGUGGGAUGGGGCUGAGGGGAAAGGGCGUGUGAGGAUGUGGGGCCGGGGGUGAGGUGCUGAGGGGAAGAGAAGUGUCUGGAGCUGAGGAGAUAGAGGUAGCAGGGGUGAGGGAAAAGGGAUGUGAGUAAGGGGGUGUUUGGGAUGAGAGGGUGGGGUGCCCCUGCUGAGGGGAAUCAUGGAGUGGUUUGGGCUGGAAGGGACCCUAAAUCCCACCCAGUGCCACCCCAGCCAUGGCAGGGACACCUUCCCCUGUGCCAGGCUGCUCCAGCCCCAGUGUCCAGCCUGGCCUUGGGCACUGCCAGGGAUCCAGGGGCAGCCCCAGCUGCUCUGGGCACCCUGUGCCAGCCCUGCCCACCCUGUCAGGGAACAAUUCCCAUUCCCAAGAUCCCAUCUCCACCUACAACCUCGGUUUGAAGCCAUUCCCCCUUGUUCUGCCACUGUCUGCCCUGGUACAAAGUCUCUCUUUAGACCCUUUAGGUACUGGAGGGUGCUCUCAGGUCUCCCCACAGCCUUCAUCUCUCCCCGCUGAGCAGUUCCAGUGAAGGUGGUUGUGUCCAGGACACCAGGGACUGGAUGUUCCCUCCACUCCUGUCCCAGGACUCCUGAGAUCACCUCACGGCCUGGCACCAGCCACUGCUAGGUUUGAUGCAUCCAGGGUGCUCACAUUCCCAUGCCAGAGGCAGGGGAAGCACUGGCACUUCCACCAUGGAUGCUUGGAUUCCCACCUCUGUGGCCACGUAUUCCUGCAGGAGUCAACAGCUCGAGAGCCCACAGAGAGCUCCUUCUCUUACCUCCUCCUCACACGGCUGGUAAGGAUACUGCUGCCCGUGAAAACACAAGCUCUGCUGAGGAAGAGCAGAGCAAUCGCUUCGGAGCUGUCAGGAGGGUCACGGUUUUACUUUUGCCAUGGAUACAGUGUUAUUGCUGCUGAAGGCUCGGCCUCUUUGGGGAUGCUCAGUGCCUGGGCUGGCCAGCCCUUGGUGAGGCAGAGGUUCUACUGCAAUGUAGCAGAGGGUAUAAACUGUAAAUGGUUUUCAGGAAAGAAUGCCAGGCUUGUAUUUGGCCAUUGUGUGUGUGGUUUCAACGCAGCAGCAAUACUUUUCUGUAGCUCCUUCUUACAACCUUUCCUCUUGGUAGUUACUGUUCCAGAGAGGGCUUAUCAUGUUUCUCAGAAACAUGCAUGAGUUUACAUCGUGAACACUUGUUCAUUUAAACAUUGUUAAAGAUCCAGCUUUAACCUAUAACAGCCAGGAAAAUUUGAAUUUUAACCGAGUUUCUCAGUGCAGUAGGGGCUCUCUGCCCACAUGGUCUGUUGCUGUCACUGCACUGCUGUAGCACUAUCUCUGUUUCUAUGCACACACUCUUUUUAUCAAGCAACACCAUGGCUGUAUCACCUCACUUGUUACAUUUCAGAAGGUACUGGCUCUGAAAAUCAGCAUGUUGUGCUGUUCCCUACAUUUAUUUUCAUUCUGUUGCAUAAAAAAAUAAUUAUAUAUAUGUAUAUGAAUACUCUCCUUCUCUGGCUUCUGUGAAGGGAAAACCCAGACUGCCAUGGCAGUGAGAUACCUUGGCCUUGCUCUCUGAAGGGAGUCUAUAAAAGGUUUGCACCGAGUGUUUUCCCCAUCCUCAACUGCUCAAUCCAGAUGACAAAACCUCAGAUUAUCAGUUUCUCACACUGUGGAUCCUAGAUACCAGAAGAAAUGGUCUGUAAAGAGAACUCAACCUUUUCCUAUUACAAAAAACCCUUACUUUAUAUUUUGCCUGCCUAGGCCAGUAAUGUGUAAAUUUGUUUUCAGGUUUACCUUGUCACGCUGGGACAUUCUCUAAGAUAAUGCUGUUUGUGGUUCUGUUAACACAGUCCCAGUGAUCAGGUGCCUGGCCUGGUAUAGAUCUCUUGUUUGCGCUGAGAUGAGGAGCUGCAGAGCUGCUGGAAUCACAGGGGGGAAAAGUGAAAUCGAAAUCUGCUCACGUGAAAAGCCUGCAGCGUGGGGGUGAGGGGAAAGAGGAGCAGCUGGAGCAAGAAAAGCUGCUGCUCCAAAGUCACACCUCUGAUGUGCACGUAGCUCUUGGCCUUGGAUUCAUCCAGGAGGUGAUCUCUGGGGAGCAGGGACACAAAUCAGCACUGCCCAUGGCAGACACACCUGGCAGUGCAGCCAGGGAACUCACUCUAAAAUGAGCUUUCCCAAACGACUGAUUCUCUGCUUUCACAAGCUGCAUUUACUCUGCCCUCCAGCUACAGGAGAUAGGAGCUAAAGGAGCGUAAUGGACUGCAAAGGAACCACUGAAACUGACUGUUGUAGUUCCUUACAGUCUCCAUUGGGCUAAAGCAGUGUUUUACAGCUCAGGUAACAUCUGCCAGGUCAGUACUGUUCUCCUUUCACUGCUGGGAAAGAGAAGUUAAGCUGCUGGCACCAGUGUGGUGGUUUCGGUUUGAAACACUAAUUUUGUGCAGUGGUUUUGCUUUGUUAAAUUGAGAUUUCCUGGCUGAUGUACUAAAGAGUGUGGUGGGUUUGGUGUUGGUUAAUUAUUAGGGUAGUUCACUAAUAAUGGUUUCCCACUUAAGAAGUACUUUUUAUGCACAGCUACAGCAGCACCUGUGGCAUCACCGAGGUACUGGACCUAAAGCAGCCUUUGUGGAAGCACCUUUUGUGCAUUUCAAUCUAUUAUUAACUAAUAAAUGACAAGCUCAGUCUUAGAUGUGAAUAAAUCUGUAAAGUGAAGUCAUUAAAGCUAGCAAGAAGUGUUCCAAAAUGCAUAGUUUUGGGAAUGUUUUAGAUACAGAUGUCAGCUACUGCAGUAAAUCAACUGCAGUAUAGAGCUGUGCAUUUCUGUAGGUAGCACACUUCUGUGCUCCAGAAACAAAUGUAUUACUGCUGGAAGUUAUUAAUGUUUUCUGUCUGUAUUUUUUUUCAUAACCCUGAUUAUUUAUGGAAAAACGGUGUUUGGCUGCAGGGUUUUUUUGGGACACAGCUUGUGAAAAUACAACUACUUCUUGUAAAAUGAAACUUUAUUCUAAAAUGUAUCCAAAAUUGCAAGACACAAGCACCAUUAAACAGAUAAAUAGACAUAUAUUUAUAUACAGAGAGCAUCAAAACACAAAACAAUUGUUAAUAUAAUUCUUAUACCAUUUUAAUGAGUAUCCAUCAAUAAAACUUUACAAUUUAAAGGAGACUUUUCAGUUGCAAAACAGUUGUAAAAUCAUAUGUAUAAAUUAUGUUUACUACAAUUCCAAUAACAGAGGCAAAGUAAAAUACAAAAAUAAUAAUCAAUACUGCAAAUUCAAAUACAAACCCCAAAAGUAAUGCUGCACAGGUACGUAUGUACACUGGAUGAAUUCAUGCAGCCAGGCAGUGCAACAAAUUAACUGCUGAGUUUAACUUAUCACAAAAUGGAACCACCAUGUCGAAAAACAGAAGAAAAUAUACUUUUGUAAUAAAUCAUAGUGCAUUUUGAAGUUAGACUUUAUAAAAUGAUUGUUGAGUGAUAUACUUCUAAUAUUCCCCAUGUGAUCUGAGAUCCCCCCAACUCCUUUUUUCACAAAAUAAAAUACAAAUGACAAAAGCUAAAAACCCCACUGUAGAACAGAGUCUGAUGUACUGGUACCAUCUUGAAAGCAUUUGUUUUAAUUCUCGGUAUCAGACUUGUUUGCAAGUGUCCAUGUCCACAGGGACAGGAGUUUUUCCUUGCUACCAGAAGUAAAUCUUUCACGCUCCAAUGCUAUCUCCACAAACUGCAUCUCACACGAUGCUUAGGCUGCACUGGCUUGAAGAGACACAGCUGAGCCUUGAAAAAAGAACCCUUAAAUCCCUAUGAAGCACAGAGAGAGUAAAUGGAGGAUAGAGAGACCUCAUUAUUCCUGAAGCUCCUAUCCCUAAUUGCUUUAAUUACAUAAACAGAGAUUAACAUAAGAGGCUUUUAUGGCUUGGGUGAAAUUUCUGCUAAUUUGCUGGGCAAGUGCAAAGCCCCUGUCUCUCCACAGGGCUUUGCCUUUCACAGUGCAGAGGGCUACAGACUCUUUUGGUUGGUGAAAGGAAGCCUCAGGUAACUAUAUAGAAAAAUACCUCUGCAGUGAAAAUGUGGUAAAGAAGCAAAAAUUCAAAACAGAACCUCUGGAAAACUGUGACUUCUUGUGUAACAAAAACAUGGCUGUCACCUUUCAGGUCUGUGUUGGUUGGUAUAGCAUGAACAUGUAGAUAAAACUGGUUAAGUGUCAAAAUUAUAUGAGAUACAAUUACACAGUCUGACACUUUUUUCCUUAAAAUCUUAAGUGAUAAGCACGCUCAGUGUUUUCUCUAGGAAAUUACUGCUAAAAUGCUACAUUUCGUUGCUGAAAAGACAUUUAUAGCAGCCUGUAAACUACUGAGGAGUUGCUUCCUGCAUCCUUUGUGCUUCCAAAACCCCCCUUUGAGCCAUCACUAACUUCUGAGUUAACGGGAGUUUUGAGCAAAAAAGGGAUGCGGAAGACCACCUGUAUUGGGUAAAUAAUGUAGCAAUUUAUACAGCAGCUCUUCAGAUCUUCCAACAUGCAAGCACGUGUAGAGAGAAGCUAAGAGACAGCAUGCACUGCAGUGUCAUGUCAUUGUGCUUAUGUCUGCUGAGGGCACUAUGGCAUUUUCACUCAGAGAAACAGAAAUGUUAGCCCCAGAAGACUAAAAGAGCCAAUAUUGAUGAAGCCAUCAGCUACUGCUGCAGUAAAGAACACCCCAAAAGAGGGAGGAAGUUUGUCUGCUCGUAGCGUUUACAUACUGAAGCUGAAGAGAAUUACAAAGGCACAAUACAAGCCUAUAUUUCUGGUAAAUUAUAUAUAUUCAUAAAUUUCUGCUCAUACCACCUCAAGAUAGUGAAUGGUACAAUAACAACUGAAGGUACAAAUGUUAAUUUGAAGUGAAGCUCUACAAAUAAAGGACUGUUGGAGAACAUAGCUCAUUGCUUGCUACAUUUCUACUCUUUCCCAGGUGGUGAGCUCAUCCACCUUUCCUCCACUGGCUGACAACAACACGGUGACCCAGUGAGAAAACUGGAACACCCUCAGAUGACAGACAGAAUGGCUUUAUGCAUCUGAAAAGGUGUCAGUGAGUGCCACAACAACCUUUGCCACUGCUUUACCUUUGGCUCAGAAUUCACAGAGAAACCAGGAACAGCAACUGGAAUUUCAUACCCAUUUUCAUGCAGAGCUGAGGCUGAGAUAAUCCAUGAAAGUAGCAUUUUGGUUACCUUCAGCACUCAAAAAUAUUGAACAGCAGAGCAGGAAUUGUACCACCUCAUCUUAAGAAACAAAUCUCAAUUUCUCUACUCACAGCUACACAAGAUCUGUAUCAUUUCCAACAGCAAAUGACUCACAACUUAGGAAAUUAAGAGAAUGGAUCAAUACUGCUGCUGUUAAACUGAAAAACUGACACCCACUUUUGUGUGAUGAAAUUACAGGGCAGCUGUGGAGGCGCCUGCUGUCCCAGCCCAGCUCUGAGAAUGUGGAAGCUCGAUGAAGGUGAAAGGUGCAGCUACAGCAUUUGAGUUUGGACCUGGAGCUGUUCCUCAGCUCGCCACAACAACUAGCACGACUGCUGCCAGGAUUUCGUACCGCAGGUAACGGGGAAGGUGUCCAGGGGAAUGAGGAGGAACCUGCUGGAAGCAGGCUCUGCUAACCCACAGUAACGCUGCCUGCAGAUCUGCUCUUUCUGACAUGGGGUAUUCCCUUAUCUCCAAACCAAAACACCGAAUCCCAACACGUUUUAUUGCGUGUUUCCCCAAAAAAACCUAUCAUAAACUGCCAUUACUACACAUGUUCUCACAAUCCUCAACCAUAACCUCCUAGAUCUAUUCCUUGAACCUGUCAGGAAAGGAAUCUUUAGCCACAACUGGAAAGUAUGAGCAUUAAUACCUUAGUUACAAGCUCACAGCUGAAUUUAAAAGCUGCAUAUGCUAUUGCUGGUGUUGAUUGAUCUAUACAAUGGUUUUUCCCUGUGUUGCUUCUAAAGAAGAUCAGUGCAGGUAACAAGGAAGCCCACUCUAACAAGGAAGCCCACUCUAAGAAAUGAAGGUGCGGUUUCCUAGGCAGGGAUCAUCACUCUAGAAUUGUUCCAACAAUUUGCAAGUUCACGCUACAGCUGUUGAUUACAAUCAAAGUAAAAAUACAGAAAACAGCACUACAGGGCAGAAAUAUCAUGCUUGAGAUUGAAUUCAGAAAAGUCAUCUGUAAGACACUUGGAUUCAGGUUCAAAGGAGCUGCAUUAUUCUUGCCCAUUCCAAGCUCAAACAAAUACACGUUUGUGUAGAGGUGUGAGAAGCCAAUUGUACACACUUGGAUUCAUCCCACCUAAUUCCAGCUGUUCAUCAGUGGUGAGGGCAAAUGAUGCCAUAAUGCAAUCUCUCCACUUGUGUCCCUCCUCUGACUUACACACAAGACCCAGCAGGUAAUUUUUAGCCAGCUGAAAUUAGGGCAGGAUGAAUCAGGCCACAGCAUGGAGCGGAAACAAGUCUGAUGUGGUGGCACAGUAUCACCAUGACAAUCCAGUCUGUCACAGCCCUGUCUGAGGCUCCCAGCCAGACACGCUCUGGGUCAGUGACCCACACCACCUGCGCCUCUGCAGCUCUGGCAAGGAGCUCAUCACACGUCACACAGUGAGGCUUGAGUUCAUGACAAUCCCCCAGAGCAGCACCCGGAGCCGCCUGGGAUGGGCCAGCCAGGCAGCUCGGGUGCACGGGACUGCAGCCCUCCCAGACACCCCAGAGGCUGCCCUGGAGCUGCACACAGGGUCUGGAGGGGCUUGCAGCCGGAGUUGUUACUCAUCCUAACACAACACGCACUCAUGCUCACGUAUGUGUGGUGCUGUGGGAGCUGUGCAUCCCCACGCUUUGGCCACGGCAUGGGCUGGCUCUUGGCAGGAGCUGUCGGAAAUGAGGAUGAAGCACACACUGAGGAGAAAUACAGCGUUCUGAAACACACAUUUGUGAGAUCCCCAAUAGUAUCAAUAGUAACGAUUAAGGUCAGAGGCAGUAUCAAGUUUUGCAUGCACUUUCUACAUUAGUAUUUAUAUAGACAAGUUUCAUUCUUGCUGGUUUGCAAAAUUACUGAGGUUUCCUUUACUUCCAGAGACUGGAAUAUUGAACAAUAGUUUCAUUUAUGAUGUUGAAAGUCAUUCUUUGUCUAAAAUACACCUACAAAUACUUGGGAUUAUGGGACAGGGAUUGCCCUGUUGUUCUCUGUGAAGGGCUAAAGUAACUGUAGAAAUAUUUUUUGAUCUUAGAAAUAGAGGGAAUUUAUCUACAAAUCGGACUGUAAGCAUGAGGAACACUUAUUGCAAGUUCUCAAAGUCUUACAUGAAAGGGUGAAGGUGCAAAGUCAUUAAGACUGCCUUGAUUCUAAAGAUUAGCCUACUCAUUUAAUUAAACUAUCAAUAGAAACACAGAAGUUAAAGUAAUCCAAGUAAGAAUCCCCUUCAACUUUCCAAGCUUCUUCGCUUCUCCCAUCAUUGCCUUUCAGACUAGACAGGACUUGAAAUUCUGAUGUCAGAAACCAGCAAAGAACACACAGACAUUUUCAGGUCUUUGUUGUAUAUCAUAAAAUACUGUAAAAAAAGAAUGCAGAGUCCCAGAAUUCAGGUUAUUUUCCUCUCUUGGUAACCAGACAGAGAGUUCAAAUCUCCUUUAAACACCACCUCAGGUACAGCCUGCAGUGGGUGGGGAUGAGGACACAAUGCAGGCAGUGCUGUGCCUCUCGAAUGGCCCUAGAGAUGGGCUUCUGUCUUGGCACUGCUGCAGCUUGUGGGGAAUAAAAAACACAUCUUUGUGAGGAGCAGCCUGCCCAGGUGCUGUGCCUGGGACACCCCUCUGCAGGGGACACUGCACAGCUGUGACACCUCUCAGGUGUGCAGGCACAGGCACCUGGGACACCACAAAACCUGCAGCUGCCUGCUGCAAUCCAACCCCAAGCUCUCAGAGAAGGAUAUGAACUGGGUUGAAUUCUUGUACAUUACAUUUAAUAGUUCUGUAAAUGGCUUAUAGAUCUGCUGUUUGAAAUAAAUUCUGAAACCACUAAGCGUGCUUAACAGAGCUUCAACUCGAUGUGGACAGCGAGUUCAGAGGACAGAACAAGGACUGGUGCAGUAUAAUAUACACAUGGCUGUACAGUCAAAUGCCACCUCCUGCUUCAAAACAAGAAUUUACAGUAGCAAGCAGUGGUGGCAAGAUUUCUUACACAGAACCUACAGGAAUUUACAGGAUAUGCAUGGAUCACUGAGGUUAUAACACCAGCAACAGACAACACAGAGUAUCUUGUGCAAUGUGAACAAAGUUGACAGUAGUUUACCAAUGCUGUAAGUAAUUCACAUAAAUAUGCUAACCCACCAGCUAACAAAACUUCCUCCUCUUUCCACCAGAACCAGAUGCGUGUGCAGCAAUCCAUAAAAACAAAAGUGGUUUGUUGUUGUGGUUUUAGCCAAACAUGCACAAAGUAGAUGCACUCCAAGGGGAUACUUGCAAAAAAAAACAAAAACAAAAAAACCCUCAAAACUGGUGUCCAAGCACACACAGCAAUUGGAUUCACACUUCUCAAACAGCCAUGACAGAGCCAAAGUUUAUGGUGUGGAUGCUUGUUGUCCUGGAAAAAUAGUAAUAUAAAAAUUCACUUGAUUUAUAACUGACAGAAAACUCCAGCUUUACUCACACCACUCUUCCAUGUCUCUAAUUCUAGCCCAAAUUCAUUCCAGCCCUACUUUGGGAACUUGUGUUCUCUUCCUUAUCCAUCAAUGUAAAUGCAAAUCAAAUCACAACUACAACAUAACCAGAAAAAAAAAAAAAACAAACAUAAAAA